rnacentral:tRNA from 1 species
GGAGGUUUAGCUGAGUGGUAGAGCAUGUGCUUGCCAUGCACAAGGUUCUGGGUUCAAUUCCUAGGGCCUCUG